GUGUGUUGUUUGGGAGGGGUUGUUGCUGUGGUUUUUUUGUAUCUUCUUAAAAAAACCACAGCAAUAACCCCUCCUAAACAACAUGC